AGAGUUGCUGGAACCCCUCAUACUGACCUUGAUCAUCCAGCUCAGGUUGAAGAACUUGGUAAGUAGAUUUAGUUGUGAACUCUCCAUUAGCUUCAGCUCUCCAAGUCCAGGUGUCCUUCAGGUUAAUAUUUAGGCUAGAUGCAUGGAUUUGAUCAAUGAAUUUAGACGCUAACUGCAGUUCAUUGUCAAAGAGAUUCCUUCUCCAAGACAAGUUCCAAACCCAACCAUUCUCAGACCAAGAUCCCAUCUCUGCUACCCUGAUAUCUCUUUGGGAAGACACUCUAAAUAGCUCAGGAAAUUGAUCUUUGAGGGGGAUUCCCUCAACACCCCAAGGAUCUUCCCAAAAGAGAAAUUGGUCACCUCUGCCCAGCUUCCAACAAAUUUG
rnacentral:lncRNA from 1 species